rnacentral:rRNA from 1 species
UCGAGAAUCUUUCACAAUGGGGGCAACCCUGAUGGAGCGACGCCGCGUGGAGGAUAAGGUCUUCGGAUUGUAAACUCCUGUCAUGCGAGAACAAGGUUGCAGGGCUAACACCGCUGCAAAUUGAUGGUACCGCAAGAGGAAGAGACGGCUAACUCUGUGCCAGCAGCCGCGGUAAUACAGAGGUCUCAAGCGUUGUUCGGAAUCACUGGGCGUAAAGGGUGCGUAGGCUGCGCCGUAAGUCAGAUGUGAAAGCCCGGGGCUCAACCCCGGAAUUGCAUCCGAUACUGCGGUGCUCGAGUGCUGGAGAGGAGGCUAGAAUUCACGGUGUAGCAGUGAAAUGCGUAGAUAUCGUGAGGAAUACCAAAGGCGUAGGCAGGCCUCUGGACAGCAACUGACGCUGAGGCACGAAGGCCAGGGUAGCGAACGGG